rnacentral:lncRNA from 1 species
AGAUGUUGUCGAGCCAGCUUGAAGAUCAAUCCAAGCCAACUCUCUUAGUCAAAUAGAAAGCCUGAUUCUUGAAAAUUAUCGAUCGAGCUGACUCGAGGUCAAUCUGAACCGACUCGAAGGUGUCUGAUAGCCUUAACGACUAGUUCUCAAAUACAAUUUUUCGGCCUGUUAAAGCUUCCAACGGCUAUUUUUUGCCCCCAACGGUCAGAAAUGGCUAGUUUUGAGCUCUAUUCACUUCAAAC